AGAGUUUGAUCCUGGCUCAGAUUGAACGCUGGCGGCAGGCCUAACACAUGCAAGUCGAACGGUAACAUUUCUAGCUUGCUAGAAGAUGACGAGUGGCGGACGGGUGAGUAAUGCUUGGGAACUUGCCUUUGCGAGGGGGAUAACAGUUGGAAACGACUGCUAAUACCGCAUAAUGUCUACGGACCAAACGGGGCUUAGGCUCCGGCGCAAAGAGAGGCCCAAGUGAGAUUAGCUAGUUGGUAAGGUAAUGGCUUACCAAGGCAACGAUCUCUAGCUGUUCUGUGAGGAAGAUCAGCCACACUGGAACUGAGACACGGUCCAGACUCCUACGGGAGGCAGCAGUGGGGAAUAUUGCACAAUGGGGGAAACCCUGAUGCAGCCAUGCCGCGUGUGUGAAGAAGGCCUUCGGGUUGUAAAGCACUUUCAGUUGUGAGGAAAAGUUAGUAGUUAAUACCUGCUAGCCGUGACGUUAACAACAGAAGAAGCACCGGCUAACUCCGUGCCAGCAGCCGCGGUAAUACGGAGGGUGCGAGCGUUAAUCGGAAUUACUGGGCGUAAAGCGCACGCAGGCGGUUUGUUAAGCUAGAUGUGAAAGCCCCGGGCUCAACCUGGGAUGGUCAUUUAGAACUGGCAGACUAGAGUCUUGGAGAGGGGAGUGGAAUUCCAGGUGU
rnacentral:rRNA from 1 species